rnacentral:lncRNA from 1 species
CAGACAUAUACACAUUUGUAUAUGUGACAUUGUGACCAGGCAUUUUUACUGUUUCUUUUGCUAAAGGUGUUUACAGAUUCUGCAUUCAGAAGACUAAAAGGGACUGUUUACAGGAAGAUAUACAAACACUGGCUGUAAAUGAUAUGCCACAAAGCUGUGGUGAUAAUGCUGUUUUAAAAUGUGUACUAGUGGGGACACAGAGCUAAUUUCCGUAACUACUGCAGCUUCUUAUGCAUCUAAGAGAAACUAGUUCUACAAAGUUACUGUCGUGGAAUACAAAGUGGAAACUGCUUAUUAAGUGGUCCGGAGGCAAGAAAGAACUAUUUUAUCUAUGUUAUGAAAAGGGAGCCUCCAGAAAGGUCAUUUUAAGCUAAGCUCAUUGAAUUGCUUUGGAAAGAGCUCAAACUCCUAUCCAAACCUCUGGAGGCAACACAACAAAGCAGAGAGAGACCACAGCCAAAAGUGAGAGAAGCCUGGGCCAAAGGUAAUGUACAAAAACCUGUAUCGUUAUCAUCUGUGACACUAACACCAUGAGUACUGUCCCAGUUUCAACAAUAAAAAGAAAAAAAAAAUACUGGCUGGAGGUUAGCUCUCUUAAUUUUCAGAACUGAAAAUGAGAUGAACAGCCUAAAGUGUGGAAAAGGGGAAGCUGCAGCGUCUCGGACACCUGCUUUUCUUAAUCCAGUAUCAUUUGGAAACAAAAAUGCUACUUUCUCAGUCCAAUACUUAUCAACAAUUAGGAGCAGGUGACUAAUUUGAUGACUGAAACUAAAUCUGGAGGCAGUCAUUCUUACACAGGCUAUUAUGAGUUGCUCUUUGUUUCAGAUGCUGAUUUUCUAUGUCAUGAUGGUGUCCCAUGGCCCCUGUGAAGUUUGGCUCCCUGUUGUACUACUCUUCCAGAAGCAGAGAAGAAGAAACAAUCUCUGUGCCAAAGAGCUUGCAAAAGCAGAUGUAAGAUCCCUGGAUGUCAGUCAGCGUCUCUUCUAUUCUGCAGUGGUCUUCGAGCUUAUUAGACGCCUGCAGCUGAAAGGUCCCGAUAUAUGCAGAAGGAAAACAUUCUGUCUCUGUACUCACACCUCAUCAUUGCCUCCCCAGGAUUCUGGACCUUGAUAACUAUAAGAUAUGAUUCAGUCCAUAUUAAUUGUAAGGUGUAAUAUGGAGGGAGUCCAGUGAAGUGCCACGAAUAUGUGAUGAAGGAUCUGGAGAAGCUGUCAUAUAAGGUAAGAUUGAAAGAGUUGAGUCUGUUUGUCCUGGAGAAGAUACAGAAGAGAUCAUUCCAAUGUAUAUAAAUACCUCAAUGUAGAGUGCAAAGAAGAUAGAUCCCGGCUCUCUUCAGUGGUGUUUAGUGACAGCAUGAGAGGCAGUGGGCACACAAUCAGGA